rnacentral:rRNA from 1 species
GACGAACGCUGGCGGCGUGCUUAACACAUGCAAGCCGAACGGAAAGGCCCUGCUUUUGUGGGGUGCUCGAGUGGCGAACGGGUGAGUAACACGUGAGUAACCUGCCCUUGACUUUGGGAUAACUUCAGGAAACUGGGGCUAAUACCGGAUAGGAGCUCCUGCUGCAUGGUGGGGGUUGGAAAGUUUCGGCGGUUGGGGAUGGACUCGCGGCUUAUCAGCUUGUUGGUGGGGUAGUGGCUUACCAAGGCUUUGACGGGUAGCCGGCCUGAGAGGGUGACCGGCCACAUUGGGACUGAGAUACGGCCCAGACUCCUACGGGAGGUAGCAGUGGGGAAUAUUGCACAAUGGGCGGAAGCCUGAUGCAGCAACGCCGCGUGCGGGAUGACGGCCUUCGGGUUGUAAACCGCUUUCGCCUGUGACGAAGCGUGAGUGACGGUAAUGUGUAAAGAAGCACCGGCUAACUACGUG